rnacentral:rRNA from 1 species
UGAGGAAUCUUGCGCAAUGGGGGAAGCCCUGACGCAGCAACGCCGCGUGAGUGAGGAAGGCCUUCGGGUCGUAAAGCUCUGUCAGAUGGGAAGAAAUGGGUGGGGGCUAAUAUCGUCCACCCUUGACGGUACCAUCAGAGGAAGCACCGGCUAACUCCGUGCCAGCAGCCGCGGUAAUACGGGGGGUGCAAGCGUUGUUCGGAAUCAUUGGGCGUAAAGCGCGCGCAGGUGGCUUGGUAAGUCAGAUGUGAAAUCCCUGGGCUUAACCCAGGAAGUGCAUUUGAUACUGCCUCGCUAGAGUACGGGAGAGGAAAGUGGAAUUCCUGGUGUAGAGGUGAAAUUCGUAGAUAUCAGGAGGAACACCGGUGGCGAAGGCGACUUUCUGGCCCGAUACUGACGCUCAGGCGCGAAAGCGUGGGGAGCAAACAG